GAUGAACGCUAGCUACAGGCUUAACACAUGCAAGUCGAGGGGCAGCAUGAACAAAGCUUGCUUUGUUUGAUGGCGACCGGCGCACGGGUGCGUAACACGUAUCCAAUCUGCCCGCGGCUCGGGGAUAGCCCAUCGAAAGAUGGAUUAAUACCCGAUGGUGUGGUUUCUCCGCAUGGGGUUUCCACUAAAGGUUUUCCGGCCGCGGAUGAGGAUGCGUAUGAUUAGGUAGUAGGCGGGGUAACGGCCCACCUAGCCUUCGAUCAUUAGGGGUUCUGAGAGGAAGGUCCCCCACACUGGAACUGAGACACGGUCCAGACUCCUACGGGAGGCAGCAGUGAGGAAUAUUGGUCAAUGGGCGAGAGCCUGAACCAGCCAAGUAGCGUGAAGGAAGACUGCCCUAUGGGUUGUAAACUUCUUUUGUUCGGGAAUAAAGUGCAGUAUGUAUACUGUUUUGUAUGUACCGUUCGAAUAAGCAUCGGCUAAUUCCGUGCCAGCAGCCG
rnacentral:rRNA from 1 species